AAGGGUUGGGCUGUUCGCCCAUUAAAGCGGUACGCGAGCUGGGUUUAGAACGUCGUGAGACAGUUCGGUCCCUAUCCGCUGCGCGCGUAGGAAACUUGAGAAGGCCUGUCCCUAGUACGAGAGGACCGGGACGGACAAGCCUCUGGUGUGCCAGUUGUACCGCCAGGUGCAUGGCUGGUUAGCUACGCUUGGGAAGGAUAACCGCUGAAAGCAUCUAAGCGGGAAGCCUGCUUCAAGACAAGGUUUCCAACCCCACCUAGUGGGGGAGAGACUCCCAAUAGAUGAUUGGGUUGAUAGGCCAGGCGUGUAAGCAUGGUAACGUGUUUAGCUUACUGGUACUAAUAGUCAACAACUAAAAACAA
rnacentral:ncRNA from 1 species